UGAGGAAUAUUGGGCAAUGCCCGCAAGGGUGACCCAGCAACGCCGCGUGGAGGAUGAAUGUCGUAAGAUUGUAAACUCCUGUUAGAGGGGAAGAAUAGUACCGGUUGGACCGGUAUAUGACUGUACCCUCAGAGAAAGCCCCGGCUAACUACGUGCCAGCAGCCGCGGUAAUACGUAGGGGGCAAGCGUUGUCCGGCUUUACUGGGUGUAAAGGGCGCGCAGGCGGGAUAAAAAGUCAGUGGUGAAAUCCUACAGCUUAACUGUAGAACUGCCUUUGAUACUUUUAUUCUUGAGUUCGGGAGAGAGAGACGGAAUUCCAGGUGUAGUGGUGAAAUACGUAGAUAUCUGGAAGAACACCAGUUGCGAAGGCGGUCUCUUGGUCCGACACUGACGCUGAGGCGCGAAAGCGUGGGGAGCAAACA
rnacentral:rRNA from 1 species